AGACCCGAAACCCGGUGAUCUAGCCAUGGGCAGGUUGAAGGUUGGGUAACACUAACUGGAGGACCGAACCGACUAAUGUUGAAAAAUUAGCGGAUGACCUGUGGCUGGGGGUGAAAGGCCAAUCAAACCGGGAGAUAGCUGGUUCUCCCCGAAAGCUAUUUAGGUAGCGCCUCGUGAAUUCAUCUCCGGGGGUAGAGCACUGUUUCGGCUAGGGGGCCAUCCCGGCUUACCAACCCGAUGCAAACUGCGAAUACCGGAGAAUGUUAUCACGGGAGACACACGGCGGGUGCUAACGUCCGUCGUGAAGAGGGAAACAACCCAGACCGCCAGCUAAGGUCCCAAAGUCAUGGUUAAGUGGGAAACGAUGUGGGAAGGCCCAGACAGCCAGGAUGUUGGCUUAGAAGCAGCCAUCAUUUAAAGAAAGCGUAAUAGCUCACUGGUCGAGUCGGCCUGCGCGGAAGAUGUAACGGGGCUAAACCAUGCACCGAAGCUGCGGCAGCGAACGUAUCACUUAAAGCGAUUCAGCGGGUUACGAUUGACGGAGCGAAGCGACGUCAAAGCGUAUACAAAGUCGAGUCGGUUUAAGGAUACGUUCGUUGGGUAGGGGAGCGUUCUGUAAGCCUGCGAAGGUGGCCUGUGAGGGUUGCUGGAGGUAUCAGAAGUGCGAAUGCUGACAUAAGUAACGAUAAAGCGGGUGAAAAGCCCGCUCGCCGGAAGACCAAGGGUUCC
rnacentral:rRNA from 1 species